GUGCUGGCUUCGGCAGCACAUAUACUAAAAUUGGAACGAUACAGAGAAGAUUAGCCUGGGCCCUGCGCAAGGAUGACACACAAAUUCGUGAAGCAUUCCAUUUUUUC
ensembl:snRNA U6 U6 spliceosomal RNA